AGAGCGACCAGGGACCAUCUUGCUCGGAGAGGAGGAAGAAGUGAGGCUGAGGUCCACGUACAAAUGUCCUGAGUUCGGUGUUGUCCACAAUGUGCUCCCCAACCCCGAAGAGAGGCAUCUGUCAUUAGCCACACUGUCGGAGGCGAUGUCUGGAAGGGUACGCCUUCGAGGAGAUUCCUUUUCAAAGUCCACCAGCCAUCGUCCGCGAAGAUUCUAGAGUGUUCCGUUAGCCAAUUCCAAGUAUGAAGAAGGAGGAGAUUCCGUCAGCCGGUCCAAGUGUCAACGAAGGGGGAGGUAAGGCAGCCAGUCCAAGUUCAUAAAUCCGAUAAACAAUCCAAAGAAGAAAGAAUUUUUCACAAACUCAGCGAUAACUCAAAAGAGUCAGGAGAGGAACUUCUCGACGAGAGGCAAAACCGAAAGUCUUUUUGCUAAGGCGGUCAGAGAAGAACUGAGGGACAUGCGUCCUGGCCUACCUUAAAUAGCUCGCGCGCAGCGUGGGGCGUGGCCAGGACGCCUCGACAAGCUUCAGCAUAGCUACCGCUUGGUCCUUGCGCAGGCGCACUACCCACUUCUUAUGGA